GAUCAACUUUGGUGUUUAUGACGUCGAUAUUCGACGUCAUAAACACGAAACUUGAUCCUGUUUAUGACGUCAAAUAUCGACGUCAUAAACACGAAAC
rnacentral:miRNA from 1 species